UACGUAGGGGGCAAGCGUUGUCCGGAUUUAUUGGGCGUAAAGAGCGUGUAGGCGGUUAGGUAGGUCCGUUGUGAAAACUCGAGGCUCAACCUCGAGACGCCGAUGGAAACCAUCUGACUAGAGUCCGGAAGAGGAGAGUGGAAUUCCUGGUGUAGCGGUGAAAUGCGCAGACAUCAGGAAGAACACCCGUGGCUAAGGCGGCUCUCUAGUACGUGACUGACGCUGAGACGCGAAAGCGUGGGGAGCGAACAGG
rnacentral:rRNA from 1 species